rnacentral:rRNA from 1 species
GAAAGGCCAAUCAAACCUCGUGAUAGCUGGUUCUCUCCGAAAUGCAUUUAGGUGCAGCGUGUUAUUAGUUUUAUAGAGGUAGAGCUACUGAUUGGAUGCGGGGGCUUCAUCGCCUACCAAUUCCUGACAAACUCCGAAUGCUAUAAGAUAUGAUCAGCAGUGAGGGCAUGGGUGCUAAGGUCCAUGUCCGAAAGGGAAAGAACCCAGAUCAUCAGCUAAGGUCCCCAAAUGUGUGUUAAGUUGACAAAACGCGGUCAGAUUGCAUAGACAGCUAGGAUGUUGGCUUGGAAGCAGCCAUUCAUUUAAAGA